rnacentral:rRNA from 1 species
CUACGUGCCAGCAGCCGCGGUAAUACGUAGGUCCCGAGCGUUGUCCGGAUUUAUUGGGCGUAAAGCGAGCGCAGGCGGUUAGAUAAGUCUGAAGUUAAAGGCUGUGGCUUAACCAUAGUACGCUUUGGAAACUGUUUAACUUGAGUGCAAGAGGGGAGAGUGGAAUUCCAUGUGUAGCGGUGAAAUGCGUAGAUAUAUGGAGGAACACCAGUGGCGAAGGCGACUUUCUGGACGAAAACUGACGCUGAGGCGCGAAAGCCAGGGGAGCGAACGGGAUUAGAUACCCCGGUAGUCCUGGCCGUAAACGAUGGGUACUAGGUGUAGGAGGUAUCGACCCCUUCUGUGCCGGAGUUAACGCAAUAAGUACCCCGCCUGGGGAGUACGACCGCAAGGUUGAAACUCAAAGGAAUUGACGGGGGCCCGCACAAGCGGAGGAACAUGUGGUUUAAUUCGAUGAUACGCGAGGAACCUUACCCGGGCUUGAAC